rnacentral:rRNA from 1 species
GACGAACGCUGGCGGCGUGCUUAACACAUGCAAGUCGAACGGAAAGGCCCUGCUUGCAGGGUACUCGAGUGGCGAACGGGUGAGUAACACGUGGGUGAUCUGCCCUGCACUUCGGGAUAAGCCUGGGAAACUGGGUCUAAUACCGGAUAGGAGCCAUUUUUAGUGUGAUGGUUGUAAAGUUUUUUCGGUGUAGGAUGAGCUCGCGGCCUUUCAGCUUGUUGGUGGGGUAAUGGCCUACCAAGGCGGCGACGGGUAGCCGGCCUGAGAGGGUGGACGGCCACAAUGGGACUGAGAUACGGCCCAGACUCCUACGGGAGGCAGCAGUGGGGAAUAUUGCACAAUGGGCGCAAGCCUGAUGCAGCGACGCCGCGUGGGGGAUGACGGCCUUCGGGUUGUAAACUCCUUUCGCUAGGGACGAAGCUUUUUGUGACGGUACCUAGAGAAGAAGCACCGGCUAACUACGUG